GGUAGGGGACACCGAGCACACGCCAAUCGGCCAAUCAGCAGUUGAGAUCGUGUGCGAUACCCAAGCCACCCCUCUCCUCACUCGAUCUCGAUCAGUUCCUCGCCGGCCGCCACUGUAAUCGGUGCGCAAUCCUUCCGCGCAUUGAAUCUGUCCAAAGAACUCAUGGCUUUAAUCUCAUAAUUUCGGGACAAUCCGCCGCUAAUAUCUUCGUAUCGUGUAAAGUUCCUCGCGUGUUGUGUUUCGCGAAACUCCUGGGUGCGUGUCAACGAUCGUGCGUUGUGGUUGAUCUCUUGAAUCGGAUGUCCACCGCCGUUCGAUCGAGUGUCACCUUCAUCGAAAGGAAAAUGCCGGAUAUCUGUUCUCUCUCGUCAAAACCUGGUGCUGGUAUAUUCGUGGCUUUGAUCCUGGAGUCAGGAACCUGUGCUGUGAGCUGCAACCGCGACGCAAGGUAUGUGAAUCAUUGUUGCAUUUAUUACCGCAUGAAUGAAUUUCCCCUCGUUUCGAGUUCAGUGUGUCAAAAUAUCUGAAACAUUCAUCAAGUCC
rnacentral:lncRNA from 1 species